UUUGUUACCCCGCUGAAUAUAGCAUAUAAGUAAGCGGAGGAUAGGAACUAAACAGGAUUCCUUAGUAAUGGCGAAUGAACAGGGAUGAGCUCAACAUUGAAAUUGCGGCCUCAGGCUGUGAAUUGUAAUCUCAAGAUGUACUGCUAGCGGGGGCGCGGGUGAAAGCCUCUUGGAAAAGAGAAUCAUUGAGGGUGAGAAUCCUGUUUGUCACUCGCAGACCUCCGUGCACGGCGUACGUUCUUAGAGUCACGUUCCUCGGGAUUGGAGCGCAAAUUGGGUGGUAAAUUUCAUCCCCAAGCUAAAUAUGGGUUCGAAACCGAUAGCAAACAAGUACCAUGAGGGAAAGAUGAAAAGGACUUUGAAAAGAGAGUUAAAAGUGCCUGAACUUGCUGAAAGGAAAGCGGAUGGAACCAGUGUUGCUUGGUAAGAUUGUCGCGUGCUAAGGUGAUUCUCGCUGCGUCAGCGCAAGCGGUGCUGUGGGUUGGAUCCUUCCGCGCGCGAUGCUUCUUGCCUUGUGCGUCAUCGUCGGUUUGGAGGUGAGGACAACUCUUGGGACAUGGUAGCUUGCCCCUGGGCGAGCGAACGUGCCUUGUGGAACUCACCGCCAGACUGUGAAUAGAAUGUGUGGGGGCGUUGUGCGUCGCGCUGUCGCCCAGUGGGAUAUAAACAGGCUGCGGCAGUUGUGCCCGCGCACCCCGCACACACAACCAUGGUGACUAAAUGGUUCCAUUCGACCCGUCUUGAAACACGGACCAAGGAGUCUAACAUAUGUGCGAGUUCUUGGGUUUGAAACCUACGUGCGCAAUGAAAGUGAUUACUGAGAUGCUAGCAUCAGCAGCCGACCGAUCAAUUGGGAGAGGUUUGAGCAUGAGCAUAUCUGUUAGGACCCGAAAGAUGGUGAACUAUGCUUGUGAAGGGCGAAGCCUGGGGAAACUCAGGUGGAGGCUCGUAGCGAUACUGACGUGCAAAUCGUUCGUCAUACAUGAGUAUAGGUCGAAAGACCAUAGACCCCC
rnacentral:rRNA from 1 species